UACGUAGGGGGCAAGCGUUGUCCGGAAUCAUUGGGCGUAAAGCGCGUGUAGGCGGCCUUGUAAGUCCGUUCUGAAAGCCCGGGGCUCAACCCCGGGAGGCGGAUGGAUACUGCAAGGCUCGAGUACGGAAGAGGCGAGUGGAAUUCCCGGUGUAGCGGUGAAAUGCGCAGAUAUCGGGAGGAACACCGGUGGCGAAGGCGGUUCUCUGGGCAUGUCCUGACGCUGAGGAGCGAAAGUGUGGGGAGCGAACAGG
rnacentral:rRNA from 1 species